UGGGGAAUAUUGCACAAUGGGCGCAAGCCUGAUGCAGCCAUGCCGCGUGUGUGAAGAAGGCCUUCGGGUUGUAAAGCACUUUCAGCGGGGAGGAAGGCGGUGAGGUUAAUAACCUCAUCGAUUGACGUUACCCGCAGAAGAAGCACCGGUUAACUCCGUGCCAGCAGCCGCGGUAAUACGGAGGGUGCAAGCGUUAAUCGGAAUUACUGGGCGUAAAGCGCACGCAGGCGGUUUGUUAAGUCAGAUGUGAAAUCCCCGGGCUCAACCUGGGAACUGCAUCUGAUACUGGCAAGCUUGAGUCUCGUAGAGGGGGGUAGAAUUCCAGGUGUAGCGGUGAAAUGCGUAGAGAUCUGGAGGAAUACCGGUGGCGAAGGCGGCCCCCUGGACGAAGACUGACGCUCAGGUGCGAAAGCGUGGGGAGCAAACAGG
rnacentral:rRNA from 1 species